UACGGGGGGGGCAAGCGUUGUUCGGAAUUACUGGGCGUAAAGGGCUCGUAGGCGGCCAACUAAGUCGGACGUGAAAUCCCUCAGCUUAACUGGGGAACUGCGCCCGAUACUGGAUGGCUUGAGUUUGGGAGAGGGAUGCGGAAUUCCAGGUGUAGCGGUGAAAUGCGUAGAUAUCUGGAGGAACACCGGUGGCGAAGGCGGCAUCCUGGACCAACACUGACACUGAGGAGCGAAAGCCAGGGGAGCAAACGGG
rnacentral:rRNA from 1 species